GUACACUCCUGCGGGAGGCAGCAGUGGGGAAUUUUGGACAAUGGGCGAAAGCCUGAUCCAGCCAUGCCGCGUGCAGGAUGAAGGCCUUCGGGUUGUAAACUGCUUUUGUACGGAACGAAACGGCCUUUUCUAAUAAAGAGGGCUAAUGACGGUACCGUAAGAAUAAGCACCGGCUAACUACGUGCCAGCAGCCGCGGUAAUACGUAGGGUGCAAGCGUUAAUCGGAAUUACUGGGCGUAAAGCGUGCGCAGGCGGUUAUGUAAGACAGUUGUGAAAUCCCCGGGCUCAACCUGGGAACUGCAUCUGUGACUGCAUAGCUAGAGUACGGUAGAGGGGGAUGGAAUUCCGCGUGUAGCAGUGAAAUGCGUAGAUAUGCGGAGGAACACCGAUGGCGAAGGCAAUCCCCUGGACCUGUACUGACGCUCAUGCACGAAAGCGUGGGGAGCAAACAGGAUUAGAUACCCCGGUAGUCCCA
rnacentral:rRNA from 1 species